CCUACGGGUGGCAGCAGUGGGGGAUAUUGCACAAUGGGGGAAACCCUGAUGCAGCGACGCCGCGUGGGUGAAGAAGCGCCUUGGCGCGUAAAGCCCUGUCAGCAGGGAAGAAAAUGACGGUACCUGAAGCAGAAGCCCAGGCUAACUACGUGCAAGCAGCCGCGGUAAUCCGUGGGGGGCAAGCGUUAUCCGGAUUUACUGGGUGUAAAGGGGGCGCAGACGGGGAUGCAAGCCAGGAGUGAAAGCCCGGGGCCCAACCCCGGGACUGCGCUUGGAACUGCGUGGCUAGAGUGCAGGAGGGGCAGGCGGAAGUCGUGGUGUAGCGGUGAAAGGCGUAGAUAUCGGGAGGAACACCGGUGGCGAAGGCGGCCUGCUGGACUGCAACUGACGUUGAGGCCCGAAAGCGUGGGGAGCAAACAGGAUUAGAUACCCCAGUAGUC
rnacentral:rRNA from 1 species